AACCCGUCUCAGGCAUCGCCGGCAAUGCUUUGGUACAGGUCCUCGCGAUCCGCCUGCAGAUCGAUGGAAAGAUCGUCAUCGGCGGUGCCUUCACCACGUAUGACGACGUUCCCGUCGGCUCGUUCGCACGCUUGAACGCGGAUGGCACGUUGGACGCGGCAUUCUCCAUGAUGGUACCAUUACAGGAUGGAUCCCUGAACGAUCUGGUGAUCCAGUCCGAUGGCAGGAUGAUGAUCACCGGCUACUUCACCGUCUACCUACCGAGCCCCAUG
rnacentral:misc_RNA from 1 species